UUGACCUUUUCUAUUUUUAAAUCACUCACAAGAGGGUGGGAUUAGGAGGAAGAGUGAAAGAGAAGGUCAA
rnacentral:sRNA from 1 species